rnacentral:rRNA from 1 species
CUACGGGGCGCUGCAGUGGGGAAUAUUGCACAAUGGGCGCAAGCCUGAUGCAGCCAUGCCGCGUGUAUGAAGAAGGCCUUCGGGUUGUAAAGUACUUUCAGCGGGGAGGAAGGGAGUAAAGUUAAUACCUUUGCUCAUUGACGUUACCCGCAGAAGAAGCACCGGCUAACUCCGUGCCAGCAGCCGCGGUAAUACGGGAGGGUGCAAGCGUUAAUCGUAAUUACUGGGCGUAAAGCGCACGCAGGCGGUUUGUUAAGUCAGAUGUGAAAUCCCCGGUCUCAACCUGGGAACUGCAUCUGAUACUGGCAAGCUUGAGUCUCGUAGAGGGGGGUAGAAUUCCAGGUGUAGCGGUGAAAUGCGUAGAGAUCUGGAGGAAUACCGGUGGCGAAGGCGGCCCCCUGGACGAAGACUGACGCUCAGGUGCGAAAGCGUGGGGAGCAAACAGGAUUAGAUACCCGUGUAGUC